CUGGCCCUGAGCUAACAUACGUGCCCAUCUUCCUCUGCUUUAUAUGUGGGAUGCCUACCACAGCAUGGUUUGCAAAACGGUGCCAUUUCCGCACCCAGGAUCCAAACCGGUGAACCCUGGGCCGCCAACGUGGAACGUGCGCACUUAACUGAGAACAUCUCCCUGGAGCCUGGGUCACCGUGGUAAUGGGUGUUUGAGCUGUUCUUCAGGAAUUAGAACCCCUUUGUUCACUUGAAGCCAGUUGAAACCACCAGCUCAUCAACUGGGCCUGUGCGGAUGUGCGAUAGGCAACCUUUUGACAUCAAGAGGCUAAAAACUCCACCUUCAGAUCAUGCCAAUGCCGCCAGUUCAUGAGCAUGCAUCCUGUGAAGAGGCAUAGAGUCUGACCAUGCUUCAUAGAUCACCUCUUACCUCACCUCUUCUCACCUCCAAUCACCUACCUCCACAUUUCAGACCACCUUUCUGCCAUCCCAUAAAUAUCCCUGAGUCCCUAUUUUUGGGGAAGUAGAUUUGAGACUCAUGCUCUCACUUCCUCACGUGGCUGCCUUGUGAUUAAACCCUCUCUCUGCGGCAAUCUCGUCAUCUUGGUGAUUGGCUUUCCGGGUGGCAGGCAAAAACAAACCUGAUGUGGUAACAGUUUUCCCAUUUGUGUAUUUUAAACCUUCUGUCAUUGCUUUAUGUUUUAUUUGGGGGGGGGGUGGUUUCAGCUUUAUUGAGAUAUAAUUCACAUACCAUAAAAUUUUCCCUUUUUAUACAAUUGAAUGUUACUUAGUAUAUUCAGAGUUGUGCGACCAUCACCACUAUAUAAUUUCAGAACAUUUUCAUCACCCCAAAAAGAAACUGUGUACCCCUUAGCAAGCACUCCCCAUUCUUUACCCUCGACCCCCUGCCAGCCCCUGGAAACCACUAAUCUACUUUCUAUUUCUAUGGAUUUGUCUAUUCUGGACAUUUCGUAUGAUUGGAAUCCAGAAACAUGUGGUCUUUUGUGACUGGCUUCUUUCACUUGUUGGUUCACAAACUGGGCCCACACACGGAGGGCAAAGAGAGAAGGAAGAAAGAGAGGCAGACACUCGAUGGAUGGGGGCAGGUUUAAUCAGUGAGGGAACUUAUGACACUUGCCUUGGGCAGCUACAAGAUGACCUCCGCACCGCCCAGCAGAAUCUUAAAAGUUUAUAUAGAAGCCUUAGUGGGGUUCAGUCAUAUAGACCAUCCAGAUGGUCUCGACAACUCAUUACUCUCUCAAGGCUAUGUCCUUGAAAACAGCUCCCACUGUGGGAAUGGUGGGGAGUGUGCAUUCCAAGGACAGGGGAGGAGUGAGAACCUUUCAAAUGCCCAGUUCUUGGGUCGAGUGGCGGUCACGUCCUCUUGAUUACCUCCUCCAACAUCACUUAGCAUGUUUUCAAGGUUCAUCCAGGUUGGAGCAUGUAUCAGGAAUUCAUUCCUUUUUAUGGCUGAAUAAUCACUCAUUAUGUGGAUACACCACGUUGUCUUUAUCCAUUCACCAGCUGAUGGACAUUUGUUUAUUUCCAUCUUUUGUCUAUUAUGAAUAAUGUUGACAUAAGCAGUUGUAUACAAAUGUUUUAAUGGUCAUGUUUUCAGUUCUCUUGGGUAAAUAUGUGGGAGUGGAAUUGCUGGUUCACGGUAACUCUAUUUUUAAUCUUUUAGAGGAACAGCCAGACUGCUUUCCAAAGCAGUUGCACCAUUUUACAUUCCUAGCAGCAGUGUAUGAGGGUUCCAAUUCCCCACAUCCCAGCCAACACUUAUUAUUGUCCACCCUUUUCCUCACAGCCAGCCUAGUGGGUUGCGGUGGAGUUUUUAUAACAAAAAGUGACAGUUAAAAGACUCUGGGUGGGGCCAGCCCGGUGGCACAGUGGUUAAGUGUGCAUGGUCCGCUUCGGCGGCCCUGGGUUCACCAGUUUGGAUCCCGGGUACAAACGUGGUACCACUUGGCCAGCCAUGCUGUGGUAGGCGUCUCACAUAUAAAAUAGAGGAAGAUGGGCACAGAUGUUAGCUCAGGGCCAGUCUUCCUCAGCAAAAGGAGGAGGAUUGGCUGCAGAUGUUAGCUCAGGGCUAGUCUUCCUCAAAAAAAAAAAAAAGACUGGGGAAGCACAUUCUCUGGUCAGCCACAGGACCCCAUCAACCACCAGCAGCAGGACAGUGGACAAUACUGACAGCACUGCCCUAUCCUCUGCCUGUGGGCUGCUCCCUGACAGUUAAUGGCAGUGGUUCCCAAAAUGUGGUCCUCAGACCAGCAGCACCAGCAGCACCUGGGAGCCAGCCAGAAAUGCUGAGUCUCAGACUCUGUCCGAGACCUCCUGAGUCAGAGGCUCUGGGUUGGGAACCAGCUCUAGUGAUCCCAGUGAGUCUGAUGCCGCCCAAGCCCAGGGGAGGCAGGCUCUGCUGCAGAGCGUCUUUGCCCCUCAGUGCCGGCUGUGCCUACCUGGUUAGUGAUGAAUAAGAUGCACCAGAUCCACCAUCCCUUGCGAGUGACGAUGACAGUGACCAAGGAGAGAGCUUUUUGAAGGAUUCAAUCAUGCAACUCAGGUGGAAGAGUUUGACACUUCCCAGGGAUGAGUGACACUGCCGAUGUAAAAUGUUCGCAAUAACUAAUUUUGGACUCAGAAAACCUAGCUGGAAGGUAAAC
ensembl:lncRNA